CUGCGUUGUGUAUUUUGCGGCAAACCUCACCUUUGGAAACACUGUUUUAACGAAAUCACCCAGCGUCUUACUCUAUUUGCGUGACUGUUUUCCCUCCCCGUGGCGCGCGGGGUGUUUCGUUCGCUGAUUGUCCUUAGCAUUGCUGCAAGUCUUCUGAUGAGGUGCAUUUAAAAGGGGCUUUUCUAGAAAGCAUUCAUUUUUUUUUUUUUCUUUUAAAAAGCUUUGUCUGGGAAGGAGAUUGACAUUUCCACGCGAAGUCUGUCUCUUCAGGGAGGAAAGCUGGGAGACACUAGUCGGGCGAGGCAACCCCGCGGAAGACGUUCCUCCCUCCUUUACAGGUUCAGUGAAGUUCCUGGCAAAGGCCCCUUUGUGUGACUAAAUUUGGAAAGAAUAUGGAUCUGAGCCAGUCAUUCCACGUGUGCUCCCAGCUCCCAGCUGAGAAGGCCAAGGGUUCUCUUCCGGAACAAACCAACAUAAAGAGACAGCUUUGCAAUGGUGUACUGUGAAGUGUCGGAAAUCCUGGGUUGGAAGUGGGUACCACCACUUCCCCUCAUGCCGUGCUGACCUCAGGCAAGCCAUUUAACCUCGUCCAGGCUCAAUUUCCUUUCUGCAAAAUAGGUGUAAUAAUAGCCAAUGUGACAUGAUUGUUGUAAUGAUUCAGUAAGUCAAUGCAUGUGAAGUACAUGCAAAUGUCAGGUAUGAGGCAAAGAUGACUUUUAAGCCAUCCUCUAAGUUUCAAACAAAAAGCUUUUAAAGCACGAGCAAUCUUUACCACAGGACCAAAUGGGGAUGGUUUCACACUUAGACAUCUCUUGCUGUGACCCUUGCCACAUCUGCAACAGUUGUGUUGUAAAGGCAUCAGAAUCACUUUAGGGUUUGUCAUCCCAGGAGUGAGUAUAGUGGGAGAACAAACAUUCCAGGAAGAGAGGGAAUGUGCUUUAACUCUUCCUAAUGUUUAUGAUGGACUCUUAAUGAACUGAUAAAUGGAUGAAGAAAAAUGGCACUGGUAUAGACUUUUUUCUGUUUUGGCUGCACCUACGGCAUGCUGGUUUCCCCAGCCAGUGAUCUGUGCCCUCUCCAAUGUAAGUGAGGAGUCCUAACCUCUGGACCACCAGGGAAUUCCCUAGAUGAUUUUUUUGUGAGGCAUUUGACACAGCCAACAAUGACUCUGUAAACAGCUCUGGUAAUGUGAUGGCCUAUGAAAGGAGUUUCCCUGGUAGCUCAGAUAGUAAAGAGUCUGC